rnacentral:rRNA from 1 species
UACGUAGGGGGCAAGCGUUAUCUGGAUUUACUGGGUGUAAAGGGAGCGUAGACGGCUGUGCAAGCCAGAUGUGAAAGCCCGGGGCUCAACCCCGGGACUGCAUUUGGAACUGUGUGGCUGGAGUGUCGGAGAGGCAGGCGGAAUUCCUAGUGUAGCGGUGAAAUGCGUAGAUAUAUGGAGGAACACCGGUGGCGAAAGCGGCUCUCUGGCCUGUAACUGACACUGAGGCUCGAAAGCGUGGGGAGCAAACAGG